rnacentral:rRNA from 1 species
GACGAACGCUGGCGGCAGGCCUAACACAUGCAAGUCGAACGAGUGGCGGACGGGUGAGUAAUGUCUGGGAAACUGCCCGAUGGAGGGGGAUAACUACUGGAAACGGUAGAUAAUACCGCAUACCAUCGGAUGUGCCCAGAUGGGAUUAGCUAGUAGGUGGGGUAAAGGCUCACCUAGUCCACGAUCCCUAGCUGGUCUGAGAGGAUGACAAGACACACUGGAACUGCGACACGGUCCAGACUCCUACGGGAGGCAGAAGUGGGGAAUAUUGCACAAUGGGCGCAAGCCGGAUGCAGCCAUGCCGCGUGUAUGAAGAAGGCCUUCGGGUUGUAAAGUACUUUCAGCGAGGAGGCGUUACUCGCAGAAGAAGCACCGGCUAACUCCGUGCCAGCCGCCGCGGUAAUUC